ensembl:snRNA U6 U6 spliceosomal RNA
GUGCUCACUUGGGCAGCACGUAUACUAAAAUUGGAACCAUACAGAGAAGAUUAGCAUGGCACCUGCGCAAGGAUGCCAUGAAAAUUCACGAAGCGUUCCAUAUUAGG